GAUUAAGUUAUUAAGGGCGCACGGUGGAUGCCUUGGCACUAGAAGCCGAUGAAGGACGUUACUAACGACGAUAUGCUUUGGGGAGCUGUAAGUAAGCUUUGAUCCAGAGAUUUCCGAAUGGGGAAACCCAGCAUGAGUUAUGUCAUGUUAUCGAUAUGUGAAUACAUAGCAUAUCAGAAGGCACACCCGGAGAACUGAAACAUCUUAGUACCCGGAGGAAGAGAAAGAAAAUUCGAUUCCCUUAGUAGCGGCGAGCGAAACGGGAAGAGCCCAAACCAACAAGCUUGCUUGUUGGGGUUGUAGGACACUCUAUACGGAGUUACAAAGGACGACAUUAGACGAAUCAUCUGGAAAGAUGAAUCAAAGAAGGUAAUAAUCCUGUAGUCGAAAAUGUUGUCUCUCUUGAGUGGAUCCUGAGUACGACGGAGCACGUGAAAUUCCGUCGGAAUCUGGGAGGACCAUCUCCUAAGGCUAAAUACUCUCUAGUGACCGAUAGUGAACCAGUACCGUGAGGAAAAGGUGAAAAGCACCCCGGAAGGGGAGUGAAAUAGAACCUGAAACCGUGUGCUUACAAGUAGUCAGAGCCCGUUAAUGGGUGAUGGCGUGCCUUUUGUAGAAUGAACCGGCGAGUUACGAUUUGAUGCAAGGUUAAGCAGUAAAUGUGGAGCCGUAGCGAAAGCGAGUCUGAAUAGGGCGUUUAGUAUUUGGUCGUAGACCCGAAACCAGGUGAUCUACCCUUGGUCAGGUUGAAGUUCAGGUAACACUGAAUGGAGGACCGAACCGACUUACGUUGAAAAGUGAGCGGAUGAACUGAGGGUAGCGGAGAAAUUCCAAUCGAACCUGGAGAUAGCUGGUUCUCUCCGAAAUAGCUUUAGGGCUAGCCUCAAGUGAUGAUUAUUGGAGGUAGAGCACUGUUUGGACGAGGGGCCCCUCUCGGGUUACCGAAUUCAGACAAACUCCGAAUGCCAAUUAAUUUAACUUGGGAGUCAGAACAUGGGUGAUAAGGUCCGUGUUCGAAAGGGAAACAGCCCAGACCACCAGCUAAGGUCCCAAAAUAUAUGUUAAGUGGAAAAGGAUGUGGCGUUGCCCAGACAACUAGGAUGUUGGCUUAGAAGCAGCCAUCAUUUAAAGAGUGCGUAAUAGCUCACUAGUCGAGUGACACUGCGCCGAAAAUGUACCGGGGCUAAACAUAUUACCGAAGCUGUGGAUUGUCCUUUGGACAAUGGUAGGAGAGCGUUCUAAGGGCGUUGAAGCAUGAUCGUAAGGACAUGUGGAGCGCUUAGAAGUGAGAAUGCCGGUGUGAGUAGCGAAAGACGGGUGAGAAUCCCGUCCACCGAUUGACUAAGGUUUCCAGAGGAAGGCUCGUCCGCUCUGGGUUAGUCGGGUCCUAAGCUGAGGCCGACAGGCGUAGGCGAUGGAUAACAGGUUGAUAUUCCUGUACCACCUAUAAUCGUUUUAAUCGAUGGGGGGACGCAGUAGGAUAGGCGAAGCGUGCGAUUGGAUUGCACGUCUAAGCAGUAAGGCUGAGUAUUAGGCAAAUCCGGUACUCGUUAAGGCUGAGCUGUGAUGGGGAGAAGACAUUGUGUCUUCGAGUCGUUGAUUUCACACUGCCGAGAAAAGCCUCUAGAUAGAAAAUAGGUGCCCGUACCGCAAACCGACACAGGUAGUCAAGAUGAGAAUUCUAAGGUGAGCGAGCGAACUCUCGUUAAGGAACUCGGCAAAAUGACCCCGUAACUUCGGGAGAAGGGGUGCUCUUUAGGGUUAACGCCCAGAAGAGCCGCAGUGAAUAGGCCCAAGCGACUGUUUAUCAAAAACACAGGUCUCUGCUAAACCGUAAGGUGAUGUAUAGGGGCUGACGCCUGCCCGGUGCUGGAAGGUUAAGAGGAGUGGUUAGCUUCUGCGAAGCUACGAAUCGAAGCCCCAGUAAACGGCGGCCGUAACUAUAACGGUCCUAAGGUAGCGAAAUUCCUUGUCGGGUAAGUUCCGACCCGCACGAAAGGCGUAACGAUUUGGGCACUGUCUCAACGAGAGACUCGGUGAAAUCAUAGUACCUGUGAAGAUGCAGGUUACCCGCGACAGGACGGAAAGACCCCGUGGAGCUUUACUGUAGCCUGAUAUUGAAAUUCGGCACAGCUUGUACAGGAUAGGUAGGAGCCUUUGAAACGUGAGCGCUAGCUUACGUGGAGGCGCUGGUGGGAUACUACCCUAGCUGUGUUGGCUUUCUAACCCGCACCACUUAUCGUGGUGGGAGACAGUGUCAGGCGGGCAGUUUGACUGGGGCGGUCGCCUCCUAAAAGGUAACGGAGGCGCUCAAAGGUUCCCUCAGAAUGGUUGGAAAUCAUUCAUAGAGUGUAAAGGCAUAAGGGAGCUUGACUGCGAGACCUACAAGUCAAGCAGGGUCGAAAGACGGACUUAGUGAUCCGGUGGUUCCGCAUGGAAGGGCCAUCGCUCAACGGAUAAAAGCUACCCCGGGGAUAACAGGCUUAUCUCCCCCAAGAGUUCACAUCGACGGGGAGGUUUGGCACCUCGAUGUCGGCUCAUCGCAUCCUGGGGCUGUAGUCGGUCCCAAGGGUUGGGCUGUUCGCCCAUUAAAGCGGUACGCGAGCUGGGUUCAGAACGUCGUGAGACAGUUCGGUCCCUAUCCGUCGUGGGCGUAGGAAAUUUGAGAGGAGCUGUCCUUAGUACGAGAGGACCGGGAUGGACAUACCUCUGGUGUACCAGUUGUCGUGCCAACGGCAUAGCUGGGUAGCUAUGUGUGGACGGGAUAAGUGCUGAAAGCAUCUAAGCAUGAAGCCCCCCUCAAGAUGAGAUUUCCCAACUUCGGUUAUAAGAUUCCUCAAAGAUGAUGAGGUUAAUAGGUUCGAGGUGGAAGCAUGGUGACAUGUGGAGCUGACGAAUACUAAUCGAUCGAAGACUUAAUCAA
rnacentral:rRNA from 1 species